CCCGCUCUCCCGCCAGGCUCCGGCGCGCCCCUCUCUGCGCUCCUCAGGCUCUGGGGCUCCGAGCGCUCCCCGCGCUCCCACGCCCUGGCUUCGAAGUUGCGAGACAGAAGGAUCGUGGUCAUCUCUUCUGACUCACCCACCCCACACCCCUCGUUGGACCAGAAUGGACCUGAAGCCCAGAGAGGGUAGGAACUUGCCAGAAGUCGCACAGCGCGACAAACGGCCUAUGCUACAUAGCCCUAUCUUUCUGACUCCUGAAGCCCAGAGAGGGUAGGAACUUGCCGGAAGUUGCACAGCGCGACAAAUGGCCUAUGCUAUGUAGCCCUGUCUUUCUGACUCCCAGUCUUUGUUCACCCAAGUGAUUUUCAGUCUUAUCAUCGUAAUAAAAUCCAGUGUGCUUUUAGCGUU